rnacentral:rRNA from 1 species
UGGAGAGUUUGAUCCUGGCUCAGACUGAUACGCUGGCGGCAGGCCUAACACAUCCAAGUCGAACGGUAGCACAGAGAGCUUGCUCUCGGGUGACGAGUGGCGGACGGGUGAGUAAUGUCUGGGAAACUGCCUGAUGGAGGGGGAUAACUACUGGAAACGGUAGCUAAUACCGCAUAACGUCGCAAGACCAAAGAGGGGGACCUUCGGGCCUCUUGCCAUCAGAUGUGCCCAGUAUGGGAUUAGCUAGUAGGUGGGGUAACGGCUCACCUAGGCGACGAUCCCUAGCUGGUCUGAGAGGAUGACCAGCCACACUGGAACUGAGACACGGUCCAGACUCCUACGGGAGGCAGCAGUGGGGAAUAUUGCACAAUGGGCGCAAGCCUGAUGCAGCCAUGCCGCGUGUAUGAAGAAGGCCUUCGGGUUGUAAAGUACUUUCAGCGGGGAGGAAGGUGAUAAGGUUAAUAACCUCANCAAUUGACGUUACCCGCAGAAGAAGCACCGGCUAACUCCGUGCCAGCAGCCGCGGUA